GAAAGUCGGCGGUAACCAACAACGUUCAGAAGAAACAUUCGAGGACACGUUGUAGCGAGGCCCGUGACUUGGUGCGAGAAGUGGGAGCCAUAUGAAGAGGCUGCAGUGCAAAAAUAAUACUGUUCCAAGACACAGAAGUAUCUUAAGCAACGCACGCAAAAAGUGCUGGAGGAACUCAGCAGGUCAGACAG